rnacentral:rRNA from 1 species
GACAGAGGGGGCAAGCGUUGCUCGGAAUCACUGGGCGUAAAGGGCGCGUAGGCGGGAUGGCAAGUCGGUCGUGAAAUCCUUCGGCUCAACCGAAGAACGUCGGCCGAUACUGCCGUUCUUGAGGGAUGCAGAGGAGAUUGGAAUUCCCGGUGUAGCGGUGAAAUGUGUAGAGAUCGGGAGGAACACCGGUGGCGAAGGCGGGUCUCUGGGCAUCUCCUGACGCUGAGGCGCGAAAGCCAGGGGAGCAAACGGG